UUACAGUCAAAUCAAGCUGAAAACACUGGUCCUCAUCUGAUUACUGAAGUUAAGCAGUGCUGAGCCCAAUCAGUACUUAGAUGGGGGACCACUUGGUA